UUCACAUUACGAGAGAAUCAGGAGGUAUUGUGUCUGUUGGCUGGAUCCAAACUAGAAUUCAGCGGAUAUGGGGCCUUGUUGUCCAUUGAUGUGGGCUCAUACUCGACUGUGAUACUCCUUAGAUACAUAGGAAUUUAAGAAUCAGGAUAUUAUUCAGUAUACGGGCGGCACAGCGAUAUUGUCUGAUUUAAUGCCGUUCCGGCCUCCUGCAGGGUAUUGUCGGGGGGAUUCCGUUUCACAGACAUCGGCUGCAACCGCAGUAAGCGAAGGUGGCGCCGUUGAGUUACGCUGUAACUACACAGCCACGAGCACACAGGUUCCGUAUCUGUACUGGUACCGUCAAUAUCCCGGUGGACCCAUGGAACUUAUGCUCUGGAUAAGCAAGUACAGCUCAAGCCAGGACAAUUCACCGGAUCAACACUUUUCAACCUCUCUUGAUGAUUCGGGGCGGAUCGUCAUAUUGACUGUGUCUGAAGCACAACUGGAAGACUCUGCAGCGUAUUACUGCGCCCUGAGCCCCACGGCGUCUCGGCGCGGUGCUGAGCCUGUACAAAAACACCACAUGAUUUCACAGGCGGGUGCAGCUGUGGACAGGAUGAAGUUGAGUGGGCGGUUCCGACUCGCAGUUAUAUUUCGUUGGCUCCACACUACCAAGCAUCUCACUCGCUAAUUCAUAGAAACAUAGAAAAUAGGUGCAGGAGUAGGCCAUUCGGCCCUUCGAGCCUGCACCGCCAUUCAAUAUGAUCAUGGCUGACCAUUCAACUCAGUAUCCUGUACCUGCCUUCUCUCCAUACCCCCUGAUCCCUUUAGCCACAAGGACCACAUCUAACUUCCUCUUAAAUAUAGCCA